rnacentral:sRNA from 1 species
GGUUUUGACCCAGUAUCUCAAGGUACUACUGGUGUCCGACCUACCACUAGUGGUUGUGUCGAAAACCUUAAUUUUUGGAACGCCUUUUCGGGGUAUCCGGAAGGGCAAU